GGCCGCCCACGGCGACGCCGAGGCGUGCGCGGGCGCGGGCGCGGCGCCGAAGAUGAACGCCUAGUGGGCCGGCUGGUGAGGCCCACUGACGUAUGCGUUUAGUAGAGAGUUUGGGUGCUAAGCCUAUAUUUAUGUGGGCCCAGAGAGGUGGGCCAUGAAUCUGGGCUGGUGCACUGUAAAUGUGGAAAUGUUUUGUAGGCCCAGAGAGUUGGGCCAUGCUAUUUUGGGAAAGAUGGCCGGAGCUAUGGUAAAGAUGGAUGUGCUUUUAAUGUUCGAGCUUUGAACUUCCCUUCAUUGAAACAAAAUUCUAUUUUUCAAAAUUUUUAAUAAAAAAGUAAAGAAAAUG
rnacentral:lncRNA from 1 species